ACGGGGUGAAAUUUGGCCGGGAUAUUUUAUCCCGGUCAAACCUUGCUAUUCCCGGUUAUCCCGGAAUAGCAAGGAAUUUGCUAUUCCACCAUUUUGGUGGAAUAGCACUAUUCCAAUGCUUAAUUUCAAACUUAAUUAAAAUUAUAAAUUGAAUUAAAACUAAAUUAUAUAAAUAUAAUAUGUUAUAUAUUAUAAUACAUUAUUUUUAUUAUAAAAUUAUUAAUUGUACUAUAUUAAUACAUAUUAUUUAUAUUUAAAUAUUAUAAUAAAAUUUAUAAUAAAUUAUAUUUAAAUAUUAUAAUAAAUUCUUUUUAUUAAAUUUAAGUUUAAGUAGAAUUUUAAAAAAAAUUAUAAAUUUAUUAUAAUAAAUUAUUUUUAUUAAUUGUUCCCACCCCUAUUCUUAUUUUAAAAAUUUAAAAAUUAAAAAUUUAAAUUUUUAAAAUUUAUAAUUUAUAAUCUCAAAAUUAAAGUUUAUAAUUUUAAAUUUUAAAUUUUAAAAUUAAAUUUUGAUAUUUUAAUUUUGAAAUUUAAAAUUUUAUAUUUUAUAUUUUUCAAAUUUAAAUUUGAUCUUAAAUUUAAAGUUUGAAAUUUAAAAUUUAAAAUUUUGAAUUUAAAAUUUGAGAUUUUAAAUUUCAAAAUUUGAAAUUUCAAAGUUAAAAUUUUAAAUUUAAAAAUAUAUAUUUAAAAUUUUAAAAAUUUAAAUUCAAAUAUAAUAAGAGGAUAAUAUGAUUAUUUUUUAUUUAUAAAACCCACUAUCUUUCUUAUUCCAUCUUACCUAACCAAACGCUAUUUUUUUUAUUCCCAGGAAUAACCCAAUUUUCAUCCAAACGCAAAAUUGAUCUAAUCCCCGCUUAUAUCUCAAUUUAUACCUAUCCCUGGAAUAGCCACUUUUUUCUUAUCCUCGAACCAAACGAUACCUUAGAGUAUAAGCUUUUAUCAUCUCCUGUAGAAAGCUUGGAUAAAUGCUUAGGUUUGGAAAGACCUAGUGUGACUUUAAUGCCAUCUUUGAUAAAAGUAUAAAUGCUCUAAAAGCCAUCAUGCAUAACUUUCCUAACAUACUGCCAAGGACGUCCCAGAAGUAAGUGACAUG
rnacentral:lncRNA from 1 species